GCGAACGCUGGCGGAAUGCUUAACACAUGCAAGUCGCACGGGGGAUUUCGGUCCUUAGUGGCGGACGGGUGAGUAACGCGUAGGAAUGUGUCCAGAGAUGGGGGACAACGUUGGGAAACUGACGCUAAUACCGCAUGUGACCUGAGGGUCAAAGCCGCGAGGCGUCUUUGGAGCAGCCUGCGUCCGAUUAGCUUGUUGGUGGGGUAAAGGCUUACCAAGGCGACGAUCGGUAGCUGGUCUGAGAGGAUGAUCAGCCACACUGGAACUGAGACACGGUCCAGACUCCUACGGGAGGCAGCAGUGGGGAAUAUUGGACAAUGGGCGCAAGCCUGAUCCAGCAAUUCCGCGUGGGUGAAGAAGGUCUUCGGAUUGUAAAGCCCUUUCGACAGGGACGAUGAUGACGGUACCUGUAGAAGAAGCCCCGGCUAACUUCGU
rnacentral:rRNA from 1 species